rnacentral:lncRNA from 10 species
GAGAAGGGAAGGAAGCCCAUGAGAGGACACUGAAGAAGGAGUGAGCAGACAAUAAGAAGCCCACAGAAGACAGAGAAGGAACAACUAGAGGGAGAAGCCAAGGCAGUUUCUCCACAGACACUACCCAAAGCAGUGCUUCACUACAGUGGCAGACAGACCUGAAAAUUUUCAUCUGAAGCAGCAGAGUGAACUGCAGAGGCAGGUCACCAACCAGUGUGGAGGCUAAAAGCGGGCCUCUUUGGGGAUUCCAGGAACAAAGAUCACCACAACUGGCUCCCCUUCAACUAUGUUAGAUGGCAACUUGCCUUCAGUAUGGUGAAACACAUCAGUUAAGACCGGGGUUGUGCAUGGCAGGACUUUCUACAAGGACACCCAGUCUCCUUAAUAAACAUGAGAUGCUCUCUUUCCAGAAUUUCUCUUGCCUGACACAGCAUAGGAAGAUGCUGAACGGCCACACAGUGAUCCAUUGAGAUAGAAUCUCACUAUGUUGACCAGGCUGGUCUUGAACUCUUGGCACCCAAGCGAUCCUUUUGCCUGGAAUCCCAAAGUGUCAGAUUUACUGAAGAAUAUUUCAUUGUAAUUACUUUUUAUACUUUAUAGGUCAAGAGCUCUGUUUUAAAUACAAAAUUUAUUGAAUAUACUUUUUCAAACAAA